CGCUUCGGAGAGAGAAAUGCUGGGGUGCAGCUUCAAGCUUAGGACCACCCACCAUGCCUAUCCAGGUGCUGAAGGGCCUGACCAUCACUCAUUAAGAACAGAGGAGGCUGCCUGUUACUCCUGGUGUUGGCGUGGCUGCAGCCAUGGCUAGGAAAGCGCUGCCACCCACCCACCUGGGCCAGAGCUGGUUCUGCUCCUGCUGCAGGGACACUGAGCUGGCUAUCUCGGCGCUUCGGGCAAGAACUGCAACAGGCUCUCCUGGGUCCUGCAGGUGUACAGCCGGGCCCCUGCCUUGUGCCUCAGCUCUCGAGAGCUGCUGCUGCCGGGUGACCUGAUCCAACCUGAUAAGGUGCCAUCUUCAGCUACCACUGCAAGGCCCUGAGGGCAACAGCAGCACGGCACUGCCCACCCGGCUGCUGAUGGCCUGGUGCCAGCUGGGAGUCCUCCCGGCACUUCGAGGCCACUGAGCCACCCUUCCAGCCCCAGCCCACCAUGGACAGGGGUAUCCAGCUUCCUCCUCAACCUCGUCCUCUGCCCCUGAGCCAGUGACGCCCAAGGACAUGCCUGUUACCCAGGUCCUGUACCAGCACUAGCUGGUCAAGGGCAUGACAGUGCUGGAGGCCGUCUUGGAGAUCCAGGCCAUCACUGGCAGCAGGCUGCUCUCCAUGGUGCCAGGGCCCGCCAGGCCACCAGGCUCAUGCUGGGACCCAACCCAGUGCACAAGGACUUGGCUGCUGAGCCACACACCCAGGAGAAGGUGGAUAAGUGGGCUACCAAGGGCUUCCUGCAGGCUAGGGGAGGAGCCACCCCCGCUUCCCUAUUGUGACCAGGCCUAUGGGGAGGAGCUGUCCAUACGCCACCGUGAGACCUGGGCCUGGCUCUCAAGGACAGACACCGCCUGGCCUGGUGCUCCAGGGGUGAAGCAGGCCAGAAUCCUGGGGGAGCUGCUCCUGGUUUGAGCUGCAUUCAGGAAGUGCGGGACAUGGUAGGGGAGGCAAAAAGCCUUGGGCACUACCCUCCCUGUGGAGCUGUUCGGUGUCCGUCGAGCUAGCCACACCCUGACACCAUGUUCAAGGGUACCGGAAGAGAAGGGUGUCUGCCCCCAACCUCCCCUGUGGGUGUCACUGGCCAGAUGUCAUGAGGGAAGCAGGCCUUGUGAGUGGACACUGACCAUGAGUCCCUGGGGGGAGUGAUCCCCCAGGCAUCGUGUGCCAUGUUGCACUUCUGCCCAGGCAGCAGGGUGGGUGGGUACCAUGGGUGCCCACCCCUCCACCACAUGGGGCCCCAAAGCACUGCAGGCCAAGCAGGGCAACCCCACACCCUUGACAUAAAAGCAUCUUGAAGCUUUUACUCCGUUUUUAUAA
ensembl:lncRNA C19orf48P multidrug resistance-related protein